UACAGAGGUCCCGAGCGUUGUUCGGAUUCAUUGGGCGUAAAGGGUGCGUAGGCGGCGGGGCAAGUCUGAUGUGAAAUCCCGGGGCUCAACCCUGGAACUGCAUUGGAUACUGCCUUGCUAGAGUACUGGAGAGGAGACUGGAAUUCAUGGUGUAGCAGUGAAAUGCGUAGAGAUCAUGAGGAAGACCAGUGGCGAAGGCGGGUCUCUGGACAGUUCCUGACACUGAGACACGAAGGCCAGGGGAGCAAACGGG
rnacentral:rRNA from 1 species